AUAACACAUGCUAAGUCAGGUGGAAUAUUUUAGUGCAUGUUCUUUGAUGAUUACCAAUAACAGCAGUUAGGAGUGAAAUCGAUUGUAUACACUUGAGCUUUGGUUUUGGGGACAUUAUUUCUUUGAAUCAUUAAUAAUGCAGCACAGAGCUUAUUGUUUCUACUUAAAUCUGUAGUUCAUUUAGAAGGAUUGGAAAUACAGGAACUAGUGCUCAGGAGUUCUAUAUUGAUCACUAUCUAAGAUAUAUAAUCACUUUAUCUCACAACAUAAUUUGAUAAUUUCCUAGGUCAGCAGAAGACUUUGCUUACUUCUGCAUUCUACUUUCAGAUGAGAAAACUUACGGUUCCAGCUUAGUCAAGAUUCUUAUCACCCCAAGAGAGACAGAGAGCAGGAGAAGCAGCAGAGGGAGAGAGA